GUGCCGCUGUCGCACACACAGAUCUGGCAUGGCUCUGGCUUCCACACAUCCCGGUCCGCAAACACCUGGCCGUCCAGGGUGCAGCUUCCGCCCGUGCCUAAGGGGGGCGACACCACAGAGAUACAGGGAAGAGGAUGGAAUGCAAUCUGUCUUUCAGGAAGAAAGAGAGGCAGAAAAGAAGAAGAAAGGGAGGAAAAGCGCCACCUCAUCAUUCCCCGGCUCAACCUCCAGCUCUGAUCGGAUCCUCAGAGCGUCACAAACCGACACACACGUACACACUGACACACACGCACAUUUAGCUUUUGUUCCAAUGUGUCCCUGAUGAAAAAAACACAUCGCCGUCAUUUCAGCAGCAACCCGCAAAGACUUAACUAUUAUUCACCAGUAGUUUCACUAUGUGGCAUUUUAAAUUGAGUGUCAAUCAUUCAGCAAACUGUGUGUAAUCUGCAGUAGUGUACGUCAGCUGUCAGUCAGCGAUCUUCAUUUAAAAUGACUUACAAAUACAGGGUUUAGUUUAGGUAUGUACAAAAAGUGGUUGUAGCAAAGUGUUAGCAGAAAUACUAACUAAUAACAGAACACAAAACACACAGAAAACCCUUGAAUAUUAUAUUGUAUGUUGCUAAUGUUAAUGCUAAUACACUGUGAAACUGAUAAAAGGGUUCACAUUUUGUUUUGCUGUACUGCCUACGAGGACAUAAGGGGUGUAGUUUUUAGUAAAAUGUCCUCCAUUUAAGAUGAUUUCUUUUGGCUGGAUGAUUAUGAAAAACUUGAAUUGUGCUUCAAGAAGGGAACCUCUCUUGUAAAAAACUUUUUGUGCCAGAGAAUGCAGAAUAUCUGUUUUAAGACAGAGCCAAAUCUAUAUUCUGUAAUUCUGUAAUGAAAUGAAAUGUUAAAUCACUGCAACUGUAUUUUUGUAGUCUUGUAAACCCAUGAGGGUUGGAUACUUUGUGUGCAUGACACCAAAGUCAAAUCGUAAUAGAUUAUGUGUUUUGACCCAAUGUUUGACAUUAUUCAGCUUUUUAUGUUGAUUAUACAAUUUAAAACUGAGAGUACAUUGAAACAAAUGACUGUAAAAUAAGUUUGUAUUCUUCCAUUUACUAUGUGAGAGGAGUGACAGUGUUGCCUUGUUUCAUUAUUUAUUACUCAAUACACAAGAAUAUUAACAAUUUAUUUAUUUUUUAUUUAUUUUAUUUAUGUUGUAUUGCUCAAUCUCUAACUGCAUCAGAAACUUGCAUGAAAAAGCACAAGCAGCCAGUCACAGUCUCCAUGUGCUAUCUCUUAGCCACGGCUGCCCCUACGUGUAGUUACGUUUUUGAGGAGGCUCGCAUCAGCUAGCCUACAGCGUGGCUUCGGAGCCUUCAGAUAAACCCAGUCCAACAGGGUACAAUCUUGACACAUCAUGACAAGCUGAUCAGGACCUGCAUGAAAAAAACAAACAUAAAACAAAAAUAAAUACAUAUAUAUAAAUGCUACUCUAUAUUUAUCCCAAUUUAAAACUACCUAAACAGGAGGUGUGUUGUUUUAUGAAUUUGGCACAAUCAUUUCAAUCAAAACAUUUUUGUAUUAAAACAUUUAUUUUUAUUGAUAAUAAAGUUUAAAGUUAAAAUAAGCAACGCUGGACUAUUCCACUACACAGGCUCUUCCACAUUGAAUCAAUCAGUUUGAGGAACGAGCGCAUGUCAGUCCCUCCAGGAAUUGACGCGAAUUCAGUUGUGCAAACUUGCAAUUUUGUCCAAUUACUGCAACUUUUCCACAAAUUUGAUCAAUCAUUGUAGUUUCCUGCGAGUUUCACCAAUUGCAACGCCUCCUGGCACAAAACAGUGUGCCAUACGUCACCGAACUACCAGAUUUCCUUCUCACUGGAACACGUUGCCAUUGAUUUUUUAUUAAUUAUUUGAAAAAACUAUUUUUGCUAUUUUCACGCUCAAAACAACAAAGCCCUUCUCUUGGCUCAACCAAACAUUAAUUAAAGAAGCGUGGAGCCAACCAGCGCAGCAUUCACAGUUUUUAAAUGCAACAUGAAACUGUGAAAACCACUUUCCAAAAAACAUAUCUUGAUAACUGAGUGCCUGCACUUUCUGACUGAAUUGGAAAUUCCAGUUUCUAUGCUGUUUGGAAUGAAACGGGUGUGAAUAAACAUGAAAGGGUUUUUGCUAAGCUGCCUUCAAAAUUGCUGUAAUUGUAGCUCAUGCAGGGUAAAACGGCCAGAAAUAAAGAGAUGCUAAAAACA